GCGGAUCCUAACUGGGGCGCAGCCUGAUCAGCCAUACCGCGUGGGUGAACAGUGUCUUCGGGUUGUAAAGCCCUUUUGUUGGGAAAGAAAUCCAUCUGGUUAAUACCCGGAUGGGAUGACGGUACCCAAAGAAUAAGCACCGGCUAACUUCGUGCCAGCAGCCGCGGUAAUACGAAGGGUGCAAGCGUUACUCGGAAUUACUGGGCGUAAAGCGUGCGUAGGUGGUCGUUUAAGUCCGUUGUGAAAGCCCUGGGCUCAACCUGGGAACUGCAGUGGAUACUGGGCGACUAGAAUGUGGUAGAGGGUAGCGGAAUUCCUGGUGUAGCAGUGAAAUGCGUAGAGAUCAGGAGGAACAUCCAUGGCGAAGGCAGCUACCUGGACCAACAUUGACACUGAGGCACGAAAGCGUGGGGAGCAAACAGGAUUAGAUACCCUGGUAGUCCACGCCCUAAACGAUGCGAACUGGAUGUUGGGUGCAAUUUGGCACGCAGUAUCGAAGCUAACGCGUUAAGUUCGCCGCCUGGGGAGUACGGUCGCAAGACUGAAACUCAAAGGAAUUGACGGGGGCCCGCACAAGCGGUGGAGUAUGUGGUUUAAUUCGAUGCAACGCGAAGAACCUUACCUGGCCUUGACAUGUCGAGAACUUUCCAGAGAUGGAUUGGUGCCUUCGGGAACUCGAACACAGGUGCUGCAUGGCUGUCGUCAGCUCGUGUCGAGAGAU
rnacentral:rRNA from 1 species